rnacentral:misc_RNA from 1 species
AAGAAUUAGGCUUGAAAAAAAAAUCAAAAGCAACUAUAUAUAAGCGUCCGGCUGUGCAGGCCGGGUUUGGAUAAUUCUGAUCGGUCGCCUCGUAACAGAAGGCCAUGAACCUCGUCAGGUCCGGAAGGAAGCAGCGAUAAGUGAUCUCUUCUGUGUCGUGGAUCGAUCCCGGUCACGCAAUUUUCCUUUAACCCUUCUGCCAGCCGGAUCCUU